CCUUGGCGUCAGUCCCUGACACACAGGACUGGCUCUGUUUGCUGGGAUGGAAGAGGCCCAAAGGCUACAGACGUCCUCAUACCUUUGAAAGGCAGCAGCAGAUCUGGCCAGCUCAGCGCUCACACAGUUCAGCUGUGAGCGGCUCUCUUCACUGGGUUCUGUGGCUGUACGCAGGAAAAUGUGCAGUUGCUGACAUCAGGAGAGGCAAUCCCAGCAGAGUGAUGUGAAUCGGGUGACUGUAACACCCUCCUGCCAACACUCUCCAGACACUGCUUCUGCUGCUGGUGCCUCAGUUGAGGACUAUUUGGCUGCUCUAGACUUGGGCUUACCAGGAGUAUUUUAACGUGUGGCUGGAAGGCUCCACAAAUGUCUCCUACGUUGCACUGUGAAGUUAAAAAAAUAAAUUCU